rnacentral:rRNA from 1 species
AUGGAGAAUAAUAAGGAGGCUGCGGGCGCGGCUGCGGGGGCGGCGGCGGCCGAAUCCGACGGGACCGCAGAGAAGCGGGCACGGAGUGGCGACUGCGACGACGCCGCCGACGAUUUCAUCAGCAGCCUCCCCGACGCCGUCCUCGGCACCAUCAUCUCCCUCCUCCCCACCAAGGACGGCGGCCGCACGCGGGUCCUCUCCCGCCGAUGGCGCCACCUCUGGCGCUCCGCGCCUCUCAACCUCGAGGUCAGCACCCGACCCCCCGACGCCGACGCCGACGCCGCCGGCCCCGUCCCGACGUCCUCACGCGUCCCGCCCUCCGUCGUCUCCGAGAUAAUCUCCAAACACCCUGGCCCCGCACGCCGAUUCUCCCUCCACUGCCGCGGCGACGGCGACCUCUGCCCCCAGGCGGAGAGCUGGCUUCGCUCCCGCGCCCUCGCCAACCUCCAGGAGCUCGAUAUCAGCUACGCCGAACCCCCGCUGCUGACAUCGGUUCUCCGCUCUGCAUCCAACAUCCUUGUCGCCAAGAUCAGCCAUUGUGAUUUCGAGCCGGCCAUGAUCAAUUUCCCCUUCCUCAAGAAGCUCUCCCUGUUUCGCCUUACCAUCUCAGCGGACCUCUUCCCCGGACUGUUAUCCUGCUGCCAUGCCUUGGAGAGCUUAUCCAUGACCAAAGUUCGUGCUGUGGGCUGUCUCCGUCUUAGCUCGCCGACCAUUAGGACCAUCAUCUUCCGUCAUAGCUAUGGUGAAACCGCAGAACUGGUCAUCGAGGAUGCUCCUCGCCUCGUGAGGUUACUAGUGCCUUAUUGUGAGAGGGAUGAUAGUGUGACUGUCAGGGUAAUUAGGGCGCCUAAUCUGGAGAUAUUGGGCCCUUUCUUCGUUGUUGUCUCCAAGCUCCUACUCUUCCAGGUAGCAUCAGGGUCAUCUUUGAAUCUUGCUAUCGGUCGGCGUUUCUACAUGGAGAUAAUAUUUUUUAUGUUCAUUGUUUGUUUUCCUCAGGGAAUAAGCCUGGUCAGCUCCACAAACUCGAUGCGCACUUUGAAGGUUUUGGCUCUCAAGUCUUCUGGGCAGAAAUUGAAUGCAGUUCUUAACAUCCUUAGGGGGUUCCCCUGUUUGGAAAAGCUUUGUGUUAUUUUUCAUACAAACCGUGAGAGGAAUGAUGACAAUGAGCCUCAGUAUGACCCACUACAUCCAAUCGAAUGCCUUGAGACCCGUCUAAAAAUAGUGGUGUUUAAGUCAUUUGAGGGCUAUGGCAAACAGGUUGACUUUGCGAAGUUCUUUGUAUUGAAUGCAAAGGUGCUAGACAAAAUAGAAUUUGAAGUAAGAAAUCAGUACAGCAGUGAGACAGUGGCUUAUGAACACAAGCUGCUACAGGUGGAAAACAGAGCUUCCCGAGAGGCUCGGGUUGAAUUCAGGACUACUUCAUACUGA